UUCUUAUAGAACCCAAGUUCACCUGCCCAGGGAUGGCUCCGCCCACAAUGGUCUGAGUCCUCCCCCAUCAAUCACUGAGAAAGUGCUCUACAGCCAGAUCUUGAUUGGCAUUAUUUUCUCCAUUGAUUUUCCACCUUUCAAAUGAUUCUAGCUUGUCUCAAGUUGACAUAAAACUAUCCAGCACACCCCCACUUCCACUGCACCAAACCUCUCCCCAGGGACACCUCAAACCUGUGGGGAGGAGAGACUAGACCAAGCAUAAGGCCAGAGGAGGGAACAGGAAGCCUCCGUGGGCCUUAUCUCUCUCCCUCACGCAGGGGCUUCUGAGGGGAGUGGGUUUCUGGCUUAGCUCUCCUCUUCAGGCCCUUACUUGUGUAGACAUAAAAACAUGGAAGUCCCAGCUUUGUUACAUGAAAGAACCAGACGUAUAAUCGAUUCCCUCAACUCCUAACCGUUUGGUCCCUGCUUUGGUUGUCUUCCAAUGGGAAAGUGCCAGGCACCUGGGCCGUCUUGAGUGUAGAGAGCCAGAAGUUAGGAGGUAUAUUGUUGCUAAGUGCUGGACCAUUGGCUCAGAGUCCCCAGAGCAGCCUGUGUGACUCUACUCAGGGUUGGAGCCUUGUGCAGAAGUGACCCUCAAGAUACACGGCUGGGUGGAGAGGGGCGUGCAGUCCUGUCUCCUCCUACCCUUGUGUGUGUGACAAUGUAGACUGCUCUAAGCGCUCUCUCCCUGGGCUAGGCAGCGCUCCUUCUAUACACACACACACACACACACACACACACACCCUUGCCCAAUGACCUGUCAUUCAGCAAAGGGAGGCCUGAGCAGGCCUGGGGACACAGGGGACCUAUCACUCCCUAGGUUCAGAGAUGCUGGGUCAGAUUCUUAGAAGUCUCUCUGAGGGUCAGCAAGGUCCAAUUAGAAACCAGAGUUCAGAGCAAGCCAGGUUCCCACCUAAUCCUCUGCUGAGCCCACUUGCUGGAAAGCCACUCUUCUGGGGGAUUGGAUUUCUUUGCCUACUCUGGAAUCCCCUGGCUUUGGGGGACCUCAGCAUAGGCGGCAGUCUGGAAUGAAAAGAAACCUUCUUUCAAUAAAGCACAAAGCCCCCUCCUGCCCGCUGAUCCCUGCGCUCCUGCCCCCUCUCAUUAACCCCUCCCUCCAUUUUUGCUCCAGGAGAUGCUUUGGAUUUCAGACAAGAUGGCGGUGAGGUUUGACUGGCGUCCCUAAGGGGCACCGAAGGAGGCUGCAGUUUGAAGAGAGGAGCACCAGGGUCUUCACAGGCACAGCUGAACUCCUGACUCCACUGCUCCUUCCCUCCCUCUCGGGUGGCGGGACGCCUCCCCAAGAUAAGAGCCAUCAAUCAAGUACUUUGUCAGAGUGCUAAGCAAGGAGCUAAUUCAUGCCGCGAGGAAACUAUUUCUAUACACACUGUGAAAUAAAACAGAGGAAUGGUACUGUAAAAGUGAUAAAGAGCAUUUAAUAAAAAUACUAUUAUUUAUUUA